rnacentral:lncRNA from 1 species
CAUAUAUAUCAGGGAUCUCCAUGGCCUGUUUAACGAUGGCGCCCCGCCAUCGUUCAAAUGUCUUGCGCCAUCGUCAAAUGACUUGCGCCAUCGUUAAAUUGUCUUGCGCCAUCGUUAAAUUGUCUUCCGCCAUCGUUUAAAACUUCAUCGUUUUUUGUAGCCCGACGCCAUUUUUUAUCAAUUAUAAUCAAAUGCAUGUAAUUGCAUAACCCUUAGGCUUUUUAUGUUAUAAUCCAAUACAGUUCUAACGCCUGAGGG